CAUCAGAUGGCUGAAAGCAAGCAAUGAUCUCUUAAAUCAAUAUAAAGUAAAAUAGCAAGUACUUCUGAUGA
rnacentral:tRNA from 1 species